CAACAUUUUCAUUAUGCUGUUUGAUAUGUGCAAGUGUUGGAUUUACAUGUCUUAUUACAGGAUCAUCACCUUCAACUUCAACAAUCUCCUAGAGGUCGAAAGCAUGCAAGUAUGCCUUCAUCUUCACUGCCCAAAUAACAUAGUUUUCCCCACUAAAGACAAGUGGAACUGUUGCAUUGAAACUAGAAGAAGUCAUAGAAAAUAAUAAGAUUUAGAGAUUAAAAAAUGAAAAUAUAAAAGAUAACCUUCCUCAAGCAAAGUUUAACGCCUUAAGAUCCAUUGUACAGCUCUAAUACCA
rnacentral:lncRNA from 1 species